CAAUUGUGACAAAAUGUCGCGAUUAUCGCAGCAAUGAAGACAAAAUGAUACAUCUUAAUAGUUGACUAAAAAGCAAAAGCGUAACGAGAGUAACGGUGAGUGAAAUCGUAUUAAUUGAGUUUUAUGCUUUGUAAGCAUCCGUAGAGAGUUAAAAGUCUCGUGCAAACAUAAAAUGCUCGCAAAAUGAAAGAUUAACGUAAGAUACUAUGUUAAGUAAAGAGGACUCAACCUCUAAUUAAUUUAAGGGUAAAUACUGAUAGUGAACUAGUAUUGUGAAAGAAAGCAAAAAACAAACGCGACACGUUCGCGUCACAUGAACAAACGAAAUUGAUUUCAAAAGUCUUCAGUUUUUAUUAAAAACGUCCCUUUUGCAUUAUGGGCUAACGAGUUAAUUUAAGCAGCAAGCAUAAACGCGCAGUGAAAACGAUAAAGUUGCUUAUUUUAAACACGAAACCAAUGUGAUCUAAUCAACAAUAGACGGAAAGUCCCGUAAAAACGGACCCGAUGGUCGAACCAGUGUUUGUUGCAAAAAACUUGGAUAAUUGUUGACUAGUUGUGAAAGGCAAAUCAAACUUGGAUAUAGCUUGUUCUCCGCGAAAAUUUUUUAAGAAAGGCGUUUAUUAUAA
rnacentral:rRNA from 13 species